AUGAACGCUGGCGGCGUGCUUAACACAUGCAAGUCGAACGUGAGAGGGCAGCAAUGUCCUUGAAAGUGGCAAACGGGUGAGGAACACGUAGAUAACCUGCCUCGCAGUGGGGGAUAACCACGGGAAACUGUGGCUAAUACCGCAUGCCUUGACGGUCACGGGAGUGGCGGUCAAGAAAGCUUAAUGUGCUGUGAGAGGGGUCUGCGUCCGAUUAGCUAGUUGGCGAGGUAAAGGCUCACCAAGGCCGUGAUCGGUAGCUGGUCUGAGAGGACGAUCAGCCACACGGGAACUGCGACACGGUCCCGACUCCUACGGGGGGCAGCAGUGAGGAAUAUUGGGCAAUGGGCGCAAGCCUGACCCAGCAACGCCGCGUGAAGGACGACGGCCUUCGGGUUGUAAACUUCUUUUUGGGGGGAAAAGAGAGGAUGGUACCCCCAGAAUCAGUCACGGCUAACUACGUGCCAGCAGCCGCGGUAAUACGUAGGUGACGAGCGUUAUCCGGAAUUACUGGGCGUAAAGCGCACGCAAGCGGUCUGACAAGUCUGGCGUGAAAUUCUCUGGCUUAACCAGGGGGGGUCGCUGGAAACUGUUGGGCUUGAGGCGAUGAGAGGGGUGCAGAAUUCCCGGUGUAGUGGUGGAAUGCGUAGAGAUCGGGAGGAAUACCAGUGGCGAAAGCGGCACCCUGGCGUCGUACUGACGCACAUGUGCGAAAGCGUGGGGAGCGAACGGGAUUAGAUACCCCGGUAGUCCACGCGGUAAACGAUGAACACUAGGUGUGGGGGGAGUCCAUCCGUCCGUGCCAAAGCCAACGCGUUAAGUGUUCCGCCUGGGAAGUACGGCCGCAAGGCUAAAACUCAAAGGAAUUGACGGGGGCCCGCACAAGCAGCGGAGCGUGUGGUUUAAUUCGAUGCGACACGAAGAACCUUACCUGGGUUUGACAUGGGGGUAGUAGUGAAGCGAAAGCGGAACGACUCGUCAGAGAGCCUCCACAGGUGCUGCAUGGCUGUCGUCAGCUCGUGUCGUGAGAUGUUGGGUUAAGUCCCGCAACGAGCGCAACCCUCAGUCCUCUAGUUGCCUACAUUAGUGUGGGCACUCUAGGGAAACCUGCCGGUGAUCAGCCGGAGGAAGGCUGGGGAUGACGUCAAGUCCUCAUGGCCCUUAUGGCUGGGCUACACACGUGCUACAAUGGGGUGACAGUGAGCAGCGAGAUCCGCGAGGAUCGAGCCUAAUCUCCAAAAGCCAUCUCAGUUCGGAUUGCACUCUGCAACUCGGGUGCAUGAAGUUGGAAUCGCUAGUAAUCGCGGAUCAGCACGCCGCGGUGAAUACGUUCCCGGGCCUUGUACACACCGCCCGUCACACCAUGGGAGUUGGUUUUACCCGAAGCCGGUGGGCUAACCCUCCGCUUACUUGUAAGCGGAAGGAGGCAGCCGACCACGGUCAGG
rnacentral:rRNA from 1 species